CACGUAGGACGCGAGCGUUAUCCGGAGUUACUGGGCGUAAAGGGCGUGUAGGCGGACUGUUAAGUCUGGCGUGAAAGCUCCCGGCUAAACCGGGAGAGGUCGUUGGAUACUGGCAAACUAGAGGAUGGUAGAGGCGUGUGGAAUUCCGGGAGUAGUGGUGAAAUGCGUAGAGAUCCGGAGGAACACCAGUGGCGAAGGCGACACGCUGGGCCAUACCUGACGCUAAAGCGCGACAGCAUGGGGAGCAAACGGG
rnacentral:rRNA from 1 species